rnacentral:rRNA from 1 species
AAUGGGCGGAAGCCUGAUGCAGCGACGCCGCGUGGGGGAUGACGGUCUUCGGAUUGUAAACCCCUUUCAGUAGGGACGAAGCGCAAGUGACGGUACCUGCAGAAGAAGCACCGGCCAACUACGUGCCAGCAGCCGCGGUAAUACGUAGGGUGCGAGCGUUGUCCGGAAUUACUGGGCGUAAAGAGCUCGUAGGCGGUUUGUCGCGUCGUCUGUGAAAACUCGGAGCUUAACUCCGGGCGUGCAGGCGAUACGGGCAGACUUGAGUACUACAGGGGAGACUGGAAUUCCUGGUGUAGCGGUGAAAUGCGCAGAUAUCAGGAGGAACACCGGUGGCGAAGGCGGGUCUCUGGGUAGUAACUGACGCUGAGGAGCGAAAGCAUGGGUAGCGAA